rnacentral:tRNA from 1 species
AAGAAAUUAGUUUAAGUUAUAAACAUUAACUUGUCAAGUUAAAAAUAAUGCCAAUUAUUUCUUA